rnacentral:rRNA from 1 species
UAGGGAAUAUUGGGCAAUGGGCGGAAGCCUGACCCAGCCAUGCCGCGUGCAGGAUGAAGGCCUUCUGGGUUGUAAACUGCUUUUAUCGGGGAAGAAAACGCCCAUGCGUGGGAAACUGACGGUACCCGAGGAAUAAGCACCGGCUAACUCCGUGCCAGCAGCCGCGGUAAUACGGAGGGUGCAAGCGUUGUCCGGAUUUAUUGGGUUUAAAGGGUGCGUAGGCGGCCCCUUAAGUCAGCGGUGAAAGCCCGGGGCUCAACCCCGGAACCGCCGCUGAUACUGGGGGGCUUGAGUACAGACGAGGUAGGCGGAAUUGAGGGGUGUAGCGGUGAAAUGCUUAGAUACCCUCAAGAACACUGAUUGCGUAGGCAGCUUACUAGGCUGUGACUGACGCUGAGGCACGAAAGCGUGGGGGAGCGAACAGGAUUAGAUACCCUGGUAGUCCACGCCGUAAAACGAUGAUUACUCGAUGUCGGCGACAGACUGUCGGCGUCUUAGCGAAAGCGUUAAGUAAUCCACCUGGGGAGUACGCCCGCAAGGGUGAAACUCAAAGGAAUUGACGGGGUCAUAGCUGUUUCCUG